ACUAGAUCAUAACCCGCCCGACUGGGCGGGUCUUUGUUUUUUUGAUAUAAACAUUUAAAAAAUUACAAUCUGAUGGCUCCUGUUUUACUAAUUAAGUAUAUUGUUUAAACAUUGUAUUUCAUCAGUGUAUUGUGUAACAGAGGCAUCAAUAAAAUGUUGUGAAUCGUAAACACAAUUUAGUAAGAGUUUACAAAGUUAUAUACCUUAAGCAAUUUAGUCAUAUUUUGAGUUAUUAUUUUAAUGAAGAAUUGGGAGGCUAGUAUAUCACUGUUAAGAACUCUUACCAAUAGUCAAUAUAAAUUAUAUAAAUAAGGUAGAUAUUAUUCUUGAUUUAUUCUAAAUACAUUUAAAACAUGAGUAUAUAUAUGUAUAAAUAAUGUUCAUAAAAUAAGUAAUAUCAAUGAUACAAAACCCAAAAACAAAAAAAAUAAUGGUAAUUUGGGCCGUAGUAAUCUUUAGUUUAAUAAAAGUAAGGCCAUAGGUUUCUGUUAGGUUUUUUUUUUCCGGGAAAAACACAAACUGUUGUCGUAACAAAAAAGAUGAUUUGUUUCUAUCAAAACAGAGUAAAUAUUCAACAACUUUCUCUUCUCCUCAGGGAACCGUCAGACAUAGAGAUUGACAAAGCUUAUGAAUAGAAGCCUAAACUGGAGCAAUAUUUGAAGAUCAUCUGUCAAUAUAGCUUCAAUCUCAAGAUCAUCUCUAUGUUGAAGGAUAUAUAUUUCAAAUCAGAGAUGAAAAAGAAUCUCUAUAGAAGGUGUUGAUUAAACAUGCAAGAUCAUCAAUGGCUGUCAAGCUCACCUCGUAACAAAAGUUAAGCGAAGAAGUCGAAUAGAUUCCAACAUAUAUGAGUCGAGAUAGUUAGAAUCAACAUACGAAUAAAGCUCUGGAGUUCUUUAUACAGGAGCAACUGAUACGAAACAGUGAAGACAAAGAGGAAGAAAGGUAGAGAGAUAAUUAGACGAUGUAGAACGAAUCUCUAUAGAUGAUAAGCAGAAAUGUUUUAACAGUGGCAAAAGAGAGACCAUAUUGGAUUAACUGGGCAGAUCUCCACCAAGAUGAUGCCUAAGCUCACAUAGACAUUGAUCAUAUAUUGGACUAACUGUGCUGCCAGAAAGAUAUAUGUUGGAAAAGAAAGAAUGUACAUCCGUGUGUCAGUGUGUGUUGAAGAUCAAACACACAUAUUCCAAACAUAUCACAGAAAAAAGGUUAGAAAUCUACUUUCGCCUUGGUAGUACUCAAAUUAAAAUAAAGUUAGUAAUAAAAAGAAAUCAAUUUCGAAACAGCAUCGGUUAGAACUAAGAUUGAACAUUUGCCUUAUAAUUUAUUUUUGGCUUGUCACUGAUUAUUGCUUGCUUAAUGGUACUUGAAUUUCUGUGUUUGAUAUAAUAUUGGAUGGUAAUUUUUAGUUUAUCUAAAAAAUGAAUACUUAGAAAAAUAAAAUACUUCACUAAAAUAUAAAUGUUGCUAAAACGAAAGAAUGAAAUCAGUUCGAGUUCCUUCUAAAAAUACAAUCCAGAUCCUUGCUUUAGUGAAAUCUGCAAUAAUCAAAUAAUUUAUUAGAUAAAAAAUAGGUGAUAUCAAUAGUCAUUUAGAUAGUAACUCAUGUAAAUAAAUAAUUCCAUUGCAGAAACCAACAUGUUUCAAUAUAUAUAGAGAUAGAAAAGUUACUUGUUGAUCUGUGAGGAUGCACUCAAGAGAUUCGCCAAAGUUGGUGUUUGAUUUCCACGAGUGAAAGACCUUGACGUGUACCCUCCAAUUGUCUUUGUAGGGUUUCACUUCGUUGAGGAAAACAAAGCUUUGCUUGUUAGACAUUUUUUUUCUCUGCUUAAAUUUCUGAGUAAGAGCUGAAGGGUGAUUUAUAUAGAUUGGUAAUGCGUGCCUAUUCGGCAUACCUAGAUUUUGUAUAUUAAUUACAAAUUUAAUACCUAGAUUUUGUGGAAACUAUCACGCAAAAAAUAUGCAUAAGAUUUUACAUUGUAGGCGAAUUUAGGUAAAUUAGUUAUUAUACUUGAGAAUAUUCUAUAAAUAAUACGCAUAAGAUAAUACAUUAUAGGGAAAUAUAGGUAAAUUAGUUGUGAUACUUCGAUUAUUCCAUAUUUUUAAUAACAAAUAUUUUGGGCUAGAUAAUAAAGAAAAUUGUAUUAUCUAGAGUAUAUUUUGUCAAGUAGUUAAGUAAUAUAUUUGAUGCAAUUAAUUCAAACUUGGUGAGCAAUUCACGAUGCACAAUGACUAUCAAAUUUGUUCAUCUUUAAUUAGUUAUGGUCGACAUGCCAUUUCCCUGAUCAAACAGGAUUGUUCAAGCAAAAUGCGUUUUGAGGAUUCAUUAUCAAACACUGCAUAUUAUUGUUGCACUGCCAUGAUCAAAUAAUGUUGUUUUUCUAAAAUGAAAUUCAGAUUUCGAUAAAAGCAUUGUGCAGGGAUAAGCUGGAUAAAGAUCGAGUGACAAAUCAUAUAUAAGCACACAAAAAAAUGUAUUUGAAACAGCACGUUGAUGACAAACAUAAUUGAUAUGAAUUUCUGUUAUGAAGCUCUCUUUUUUAUAUAGGGAAGAGAAUCAAGUGGAGUGAGAUAUCGAAGUCAAGUUAUGUAUAUGGAACGCAGGAAUUUAUUAGAUUCGUUUGUUUUUAAAUUAUUUACGUACAUUUUUUUGGUUAAUUAAAAGAGUAAUAAUAUCAAUUUGUAUGCUAUCCAUGUUUCCAAUCAAAAUUCUUUUUUUUUCCUAUUCAUGUUUCCAAACAAUCUCAUUUUGUACUUGAGUUUUAAUAAGAUAGAUAAAAUUGAUACAAACCAAGAAAAAGUCAACAUUAAAUUAAGCAUUGU